rnacentral:rRNA from 1 species
GGGGAAUAUUGCGCAAUGGGGGCAACCCUGACGCAGCCAUGCCGCGUGAAUGAAGAAGGCCUUCGGGUUGCAAAGUUCUUUCGGUAGCGAGGAAGGCAUUUAGUUUAAUAAACUAGGUGAUUGACGUUAACUACAGAAGAAGCACCGGCUAACUCCGUGCCAGCAGCCGCGGUAAUACGGAGGGUGCGAGCGCUAAUCGGAAUAACUGGGCGUAAAGGGCACGCAGGCGGUGACUUAAGUGAGGUGUGAAAGCCCCGGGCUUAACCUGGGAAUUGCAUUUCAUACUGGGUCGCUAGAGUACUUUAGGGAGGGGUAGAAUUCCACGUGUAGCGGUGAAAUGCGUAGAGAUGUGGAGGAAUACCGAAGGCGAAGGCAGCCCCUUGGGAAUGUACUGACGCUCAUGUGCGAAAGCGUGGGGAGCAAACAGGAUUAGAUACCCUGGUAGUCCACGCUGUAAACGAUGUCGAUUUGGGGGUUGAGCUUUGAGUUUGGCGCCCGUAGCUAACGUGAUAAAUCGACCGCCUGGGGAGUACGGCCGCAAGGUUA